UUGUAAUACAAAUACAAGAUUAAAUUGUAAUUGAAAUUACAUUUCAGGGAAGUUGGCAAUAAUCCCCCUUGGUAACGGUUCCCACUGAAAACGGACUCUUCGCAACAUGAUCCGAUAUCUAUUGGAAUUGCUAUCCGAGUCAAUUUAAGUAACAAUAUACCAGACUAUUAUAACAAUACAAUCAAAUUGAAAUUGAAAUUCAAAUACAAAAUUUAAGUUACGUUUCAAGCAAAGUUGACAAUGGUGACUUAAGCUGAAUAAUAAUUAACAUCUGUAUCUUUGGAAAUCCAAUUCUAAUCUGAAUCUUGGCCAUUUUUGGGUCCGUUUUGGUAACGGUUUUCAUUCAAAGUCAUUACCCAGCCGGAUUGAGCCUCCAGGUCGCCAGACCGAACGCCGCCUUCGAUAAGAGAACCCAAGAAGAAGCAGUUGCGGCUACGCGUCUGUUCCCAGGAAUCAUUUUCCGAAUGGAAUAUUCUAGCCGCGAUUUAGGAUAAAAUUAUUAACACGUUAAGCGCUACGAAAAUCUUAAGCGUUUUCCCAUAGAGUUUGUCUUUUGUAGCAAAGAAAAGUAGGAAUACUUAUGAAUUGUUUGGCGUUGCAA